rnacentral:rRNA from 1 species
AGCGAACGUUAGCGGCGGGCCUAACACAUGCAAGUCGAACGCGAAAGGUCUUCGGACUGAGUAGAGUGGCGCACGGGUGAGUAACACGUAGGUAAUCUACCCUUUGGCGGGGGAUAACGUUCCGAAAGGAGCGCUAAUACCGCAUAAGACCACGGAGUCUCCGGACGCUGUGGGAAAAGGUGGCCUCUUCUUGAAAGCUACCACCGAAGGAUGAGCCUGCGUCCCAUCAGCUAGUUGGUAAGGUAAUGGCUUACCAAGGCGAAGACGGGUAGCUGGUUUGAGAGAAUGAUCAGCCACACUGGCACUGGAACACGGGCCAGACUCCUACGGGAGGCAGCAGUGAGGAAUAUUGGGCAAUGGGCGAAAGCCUGACCCAGCCACGCCGCGUGAGUGAUGAAGGCCCUCGGGUCGUAAAGCUCUGUGGAGAGGGACGAAGAAGAAAGCCGGUGAAGAGCCGGCCCUGACGGUAUCCCCUUAGCAAGCACCGGCUAACUCCGUGCCAGCAGCCGACGG